GAGACAAGGCAGAAACGGCUUCCCUGGGACCCAGAGAGCCCACAGGGCUUUUCCUACUGCUUCCUCUACCCUUGUAUUUCGCAUGGCUCCUUAAAUUGUCUCAGCUUCAGUGGCAGGAAGGGGCACAGUGUGCAGCUAUUUCCUGUGGUGUUCUUCAAAGCAGCUGAGGUCCUUAUGGUUCCAGCAAGCAGCCCCCUGCAAGUUUCUUCUUCCCCGCAGUGGUGAAUAGCGUGUUCCUGCAGGAGUCACGCCUUCCCAUCAGAGCAUUGAUCACAGACCUUACAGGACCUCCUCCAGAUUUCCAAGUUCCUUCCUUGUUCUUCUCUCAGCCCUACAGGUGUUCUCUGCAGUUGUUCCCUCUUCUACACCUUUUAAAAGUUAUCUACCUUGUGCAUAGUUAACAACUCCUUCUAUCAAAUGUUCUCUAUUGAAGUCACUCCACUGGUUUCUGCCUCUCCACUAGAUCUUGACUAGGCUCCCUAUUUUAUUCUCCCCAAAAUACACUCUUUAUUUUAUUCUCCAGAGAGUAGCCAGAGUGACUUAUUUUUUCAUUUGGGUCCCACUGAUUAAGAGAAUGAAAAAUAGGCUCUAAGAUGCAUGAAUCUCCAUUCCCUGCUGAUACAUUUCUGUGGUUUCCCAAUGCACUUGGAAUAAAAGCUAAACUCUAUCUUAGCCUCAAGACCUCUAUCCAACUUCCCAAAUUUAUCUGACUUUCUUGUCCUAUCUCACAGUACUCCGACACUGUGCUAGAUGUGAUGGUUUCCUGCUGGGAUGGUUGGUUUAAUGUGUCAACUUGGCUAGGUCAUAGUACCCAGUUAUUUAAUCAAACACUAACAUGGAUCUAGCUGUGAAAGUAUUGUGUAGAUGUGGUUAGCAUCUACAAUCAGUUGACUUUAGGUAGAAGGAGAUUACCCUCAAUUAUGUGUGUGGGCCUUAGCCAAUCAGUUCGAAAGCCUUAAACGCAACAAAACUGAGGUUUCCUGGGCGAGGAAAUUCUGCCUUAAGACUACAGCAAUAGCCGGGAACAGUGGCUCACGCCUGUAAUC
rnacentral:lncRNA from 1 species